rnacentral:rRNA from 1 species
UACGGAGGGUGCGAGCGUUAAUCGGAAUUACUGGGCGUAAAGCGUGCGCAGGCGGCCUGUUAAGUUGGAUGUGAAAGCCCCGGGCUCAACCUGGGAACUGCAUCCAAAACUGGCAGGCUCGAGUGCGGAAGAGGAGUGUGGAAUUUCCUGUGUAGCGGUGAAAUGCGUAGAUAUGGGAAGGAACACCAGUGGCGAAGGCGACACUCUGGUCCGACACUGACGCUGAGGUACGAAAGCGUGGGGAGCAAACAGG